rnacentral:rRNA from 1 species
UACGUAGGGUGCAAGCGUUGUCCGGAAUUAUUGGGCGUAAAGAGCUCGUAGGCGGCCUGUCACGUCGACUGUGAAAACCCAGGGCUCAACCCUGGGCCUGCAGUCGAUACGGGCAGGCUAGAGUGUGGUAGGGGAGACUGGAAUUCCCGGUGUAGCGGUGAAAUGCGCAGAUAUCAGGAGGAACACCGGUGGCGAAGGCGGGUCUCUGGGCCAUAACUGACGCUGAGGAGCGAAAGCGUGGGGAGCGAACAGG